AUUUCCUCCUAACCCUAGCUGUUAUCAUUAGCUUUUAAUCUCUGAGAAUCUUGAAACAAAUUUUUAUUCAACUCUUAUGUUCCUUCGUGUUAUAUUUGGAUCCGUCUCGUCCUAGUUGAAGUAGACUCACGCCUCUCCGAUUCUCAUCUUCGUUCUCGCCAAACGACCCGUCGACUGCUCGUGCUUCGGAGUCUACGCAGGGUUAGCUGUUUGCCAAGAUCACGUGGAUAAGCAAGCAGUUUGUGAUUUGAAAGCUGGUCCACUCCGAUUCUUUUGAUUCCUCGGAGGUUUUUAUGUUAUUU